GAUGAAGAACGUAGCGAAAUGCGAUACUUGGUGUGAAUUGCAGAAUCCCGUGAACCAUCGAGUCUUUGAACGCAAGUUGCGCCCGAAGCCAUCAGGUUGAGGGCACGUCUGCCUGGGCGUCACAUAUCGUUGCCCAAUGCCUAUUGCAGUGCAAUAGGAAUUUCUAGGGCGAAUGAUGGCUUCCCGUGAGCGUUGUUGCCUCGCGGUUGGUUGAAAAUCGAGUCCUUGGUAGGGUGUGCCAUGGUAGAUGGUGGUCGAGUUAGAACGAUACCGAUCAUGUGCAUGCUCCCCAAAAUAUGGCCUCUAUGACCCACGCGCGUCUUUUGACGCUCAUGACGAGACCUCAGGUCAGGCGGGGCUACCCGCUGAAUUUAAGCAUAUCAAUAAGCGGAGGA
rnacentral:misc_RNA from 1 species